UACAGAGGUCUCAAGCGUUGUUCGGAUUCAUUGGGCGUAAAGGGUGCGUAGGCGGCGCGGUAAGUCGGGUGUGAAAUCUUGGAGCUUAACUCCGAAACUGCAUUCGAUACUGCCGUGCUUGAGGACUGGAGAGGAGACUGGAAUUUACGGUGUAGCGGUGAAAUGCGUAGAUAUCGUAAGGAAGAUCAGUGGCGAAGGCGGGUCUCUGGACAGUUCCUGACGCUGAGGCACGAAGGUCAGGGGAGCAAACGGG
rnacentral:rRNA from 1 species